GCCGGGAACUCAAAGGAGACUGCCAGUGAUAAACUGGAGGAAGGUGGGGAUGACGUCAAGUCAUCAUGGCCCUUACGACCAGGGCUACACACGUGCUACAAUGGCGCAUACAAAGAGAAGCGACCUCGCGAGAGCAAGCGGACCUCAUAAAGUGCGUCGUAGUCCGGAUUGGAGUCUGCAACUCGACUCCAUGAAGUCGGAAUCGCUAGUAAUCGUGGAUCAGAAUGCCACGGUGAAUACGUUCCCGGGCCUUGUACACACCGCCCGUCACACCAUGGGAGUGGGUUGCAAAAGAAGUAGGUAGCUUAACCUUCGGGAGGGCGCUUACCACUUUGUGAUUCAUGACUGGGGUGAAGUCGUAACAAGGUAACCGUAGGGGAACCUGCGGUUGGAUCAC
rnacentral:rRNA from 1 species